AUUGAACGCUGGCGGCGUGCUUCACACAUGCAAGUCGAACGAGAAAGUACCUUCGGGUGCGAGUACAGUGGCGCACGGGUGAGUAACACGUGGAUAAUCUACCGCAAAAUUCGGGAUAACGGUUGGAAACGAUCGCUAAUACCGGGUACGCUUCAUUUUUAUCUUUGAGGGAAAGGUGGCCUCUGCUUGCAUGCUAUCGCUUUGUGAUGAGUCCGCGUCCCAUUAGCUAGUUGGUAAGGUAAUGGCUUACCAAGGCUACGAUGGGUAGCUGGUUUGAGAGGAUGACCAGCCACACUGGAACUGGAACACGGUCCAGACUCCUACGGGAGGCAGCAGUGGGGAGUAUUGCGCAAUGGGCGAAAGCCUGACGCAGCGACGCCGCGUGAGGGAUGAAGGUUUUCGGAUCGUAAACCUCUGUCAGUGGGGAAGAAAUGGGCAUGUGCUAAUAUCAUGUGCUCUUGACGGUACCCACAAAGGAAGGACCGGCUAACUCCGUGCCAGCAGCCGCGGUAAUAC
rnacentral:rRNA from 1 species